UAGUCCACGCUGUAAACGAUGAUUACUCGUUGUGUGCGAUAUAUUGUACGCGACUGAGCGAAAGCAUUAAGUAAUCCACCUGGGGAGUACGUCGGCAACGAUGAAACUCAAAGGAAUUGACGGGGGCCCGCACAAGCGGAGGAACAUGUGGUUUAAUUCGAUGAUACGCGAGGAACCUUACCUGGGCUUGAAAUGAUAACGCUUAUAUUAGAAAUGAUAUAUUCCAUUACGGACGUUAUUGUAGGUGCUGCAUGGCUGUCGUCAGCUCGUGCCGUGAGGUGUCGGGUUAAGUCCCAUAACGAGCGCAACCCCUAUUGCUAGUUGCCAUCGCGUAAAGGCGGGGACUCUAGUGAGACUGCCACCGUAAGGUGAGAGGAAGGUGGGGAUGACGUCAAGUCAGCACGGCCCUUAUGUCCAGGGCUACACACGUGUUACAAUGGCCUGUACAACGGGUUGCUACUUGGUAACAAGAUGCUAAUCUCGAAAACAGGUCCUAGUUCGGAUUG
rnacentral:rRNA from 1 species